rnacentral:sRNA from 1 species
UUUUUGUUGGUUUUAUCCUCUUUUGAGAGAAACUUGAUAUAAGUGUUGUCUAAACACUCCUAAUCUAUCUUUAUCUCUUAUAAUUAGUCAAAUUCAUUGGAUUGUGACAUAUUUUGACCAUAGAAACACUAACAAAUCUAUUGACUGCUUCUAAGCAAUUUUUUGUUGGUUUUAGCUUCUUUUGGGACAAAAUGGCUAUAAGUGUUGUCUAAACACUCCUAAUCCAUCUCUAACUUAUAUAAUUAGUCAAAUGCAUUGGAUCGUGAUACAUUUUGACCAUGAAAACACUUA